rnacentral:rRNA from 1 species
AGAGUUUGAUCCUGGCUCAGGAUGAACGCUGGCGGCGUGCCUAACACAUUCAAGUCGAACGGAGUCUUAGAGAUAAAUCCUUCGGGAAGCGUUUUUAAGACUUAGUGGCGGACGGGUGAGUAACGCGUGAGCAACCUGCCUCUGUGAGGGGAAUAACGUCUGGAAACGGACGCUAAUACCGCAUAAAGCAUCGAGACCGCAUGAUCAUGAUGUCAAAGAUUUAUCGCACAGAGAUGGGCUCGCG